GCUUCUUUUCGGGCUUUCCGGUCUUUUUUUUCUUUUUCUUUUUUUUUUUACUAUACCAUAUUACCGCCGUGCGCACAUUUUAGCUCAUUUCGUUUAUAUAGAGUAGAAUGAUAUUAUUAUCUUAUUCUUUUUUCGCGGUGCAUCAUAAUGUUAUACGCACGGUAGUACGAUUUUAAAAUCGCGGUUACCGAUUGCGAGAACUUUUAAAAUGUUAUUCCUUACAUAAUAUAAAAUUAAUAUUUUUAUUAUUACUAAGGAUGGGCGAUUUAAUAACUCCGACACUCGACAAUACAUUCGAUAUUCUAGAGAAAGUAUUAAUAUCGAAAUCGAGGUAUUUUUUUUUCUAUCCAUUUUGGUAUUGUAUUAUUUUAAAACGAACCUUUCAUACCUGCACGUUAUGGUUAAAUAGAUUAAAUAAAAUAAAUUACCUAGUUAUUAGAUUUGGAGGGUAGCGAGAGAUAU